ensembl:snRNA U6 U6 spliceosomal RNA
GUGCUUGCUUUGGCAGCACAAACACUAAAAUUGGAAUGAUAUAGAGAAGAUUAGCAUGGCCCCUGUACAAGGAUGAAGUGCAAAUUUGUGAAGUGUUCCAUAUUUUU